rnacentral:rRNA from 1 species
CCUACGGGUUGCACCAGUGGGAAUAUUGCACAAUGGGCGCAAGCCUGAUGCAGCCAUGCCGCGUGUGUGAAGAAGGCCUUCGGGUUGUAAAGCACUUUCAGCGGGGAGGAAGGCGAUAAGGUUAAUAACCUUGUCGAUUGACGUUACCCGCAGAAGAAGCACCGGCUAACUCCGUGCCAGCAGCCGCGGUAAUACGGAGGGUGCAAGCGUUAAUCGGAAUUACUGGGCGUAAAGCGCACGCAGGCGGUCUGUCAAGUCGGAUGUGAAAUCCCCGGGCUCAACCUGGGAACUGCAUUCGAAACUUGCAGGCUAGAGUCUUGUAGAGGGGGGUAGAAUUCCAGGUGUAGCGGUGAAAUGCGUAGAGAUCUGGAGGAAUACCGGUGGCGAAGGCGGCCCCCUGGACAAGGACUGACGCUCAGGUGCGAAAGCGUGGGGAGCAAACAGGAUUAGAUACCCUUGUAGUC